GAAAUGCUUGUGAGGAUUGGUUCAUUGCUUGUGGUAUUGAGUGUGUUAUCAAAUAGUUUAAGGAAGUCUAUUCGAAGCCACUACUUGGAGCUCAUUACUUUGCUUUCGAACAAAUGAAAAUUAAAGCCUGGUGUGAGAAUGCCUCUACGAAAGCUGGUGUUGAUUAUUGACAUGGGACCCCAUUUAAUAAAAGUUCAUGAAGGUAAUGUUCAUAAAGAUGUUGACAAAAUCACUGCAGAAGCUGAAAAUUUUUUGGAAGAUGAGGCCAAUGCAAACAAGAGGUGUCUGAAUGAGUGGUGCAUUAAUCCCGGACAGUGUAACCGGCUUAGUAAACAGGCAUUUCAUGCAACAUGUUUGAUGAAAUGUUUGUGAGGAAUGGUUCCUUGGGAUUUGGUGAGUUUGUUGUCAAAUGGUUCAAUGAAGCAUAAUGAAGCCACUACUUGGAACUGAUUGGUUUCCUUGCAAAUGAACCAGAAUUACAACCUGGCGUGAGGUCAAAUAGUUUUUGAACCCAGGCCCAACUUGUGCCUUUACAAGCUUCCAUGAUGGCAACAGAUGAUGUAUACUGUAAUACUCAUGCACAUAAGGAUUAUUGUAUAGAUUUAACUUGGCAAUUUACUUAUCUUCAACGCUAAGUCUUGGCUUGCACUUUGCCUCCACCGAGAGCAGCUUGUGUAGCCGAAGCAAUCUACUUUCAUGGCCCUCAUGAUCUACUGGGUUCAAAUAGUUUUUGAACCCAGGCCCAACUUGUGCCUUUACAAGCUUCCAUGAUGGCAACAGAUGAUGUAUACUGUAAUACUCAUGCACAUAAGGAUUAUAGUAUAGAUUUACCUUGGCAAUUUACUUAUCUUCAACACUAAGGCUUGGCUUGCACUUUGCCUCCGCCGAGAGCAGCUUGUGUAGCCAAAGCAAUCUACUUUCGUGGCCCUCAUGAUCUACUGGUUUGGCCGCUGAUCUACUGUUGUUGUGGUGCAUCUCUUUUUCAGUAUUGGUUAUCUCAAAUUAAUUAUGCUUUUAAAGUGCUUGAUAAAUUGUCUCAAUUAAUUGUUUGAUUGCGUUUUAUUUAAUGAAUAUGAAGAAUAUGACUUUGCCAGGACAUGAAGCAUUGCAAGAGAAAAGAAACUUUUCAGGUAGAACUUUCUGAAGGUUGUCUGGAACAGUUCACACAUGAGAUCUAGCCCUUUCUAAGAAUGCAAAGUGAUGCUUUUUCGGUUUAACAAAGGCAUGCACCCUUGGUAUUCUUGUUAGCAUGUCUGGCUGGAAAUAUGGUCUUGAAUAUCAACAGGGUAUUGGUCAUGGAAUUGGGUCUUACCUAAACAUUCAAGAAGAAAUCUGUUUCUAUGAAGAUGGGAAAGUUGGUUUAAGAUUAGAUAAUGUGCUCAUAAUCAAAGAGGUGGAUACAAAAUUCAAUUUUGGUGACGGGGUUACUUGACAUUUGAGCAUAUAACAUGGAUCCUGCUGCCAAUGCUGAUCUUACUGUGGUCUUAAUGCAAGAAGGAUUAGCUCACAUCUUGCUUAUUGGUAAUGAUAUGUACGGCUAAGUCAUAAUUGAAUCCAAAGAACACAAUUUUUAGACUAAUUUCUAGUUCCUUGCUUGAAUUGUAUACAGGGUUAGAAAUCUCAUAGAGAGAUCUAACAAGAAGGCUGUUAACUGAUCAGAGACCAAAUUACUGCUGCUCAGAGUAAAGAGGAAGAAGAAGGAUGAUCAAAACAACAUUAACUUGCUUUACAUUUUGUCUUUCACAAGACAAUAAUGUUCCUAGAUUUCUUUUAGAAGACAAGAAUAUUGUAUUCUUAUGGAACAGAAUAAAAAAUUGUUGUAAGAAUGGAACCAAGCAGCCUUGAGUUGAGAGCAAGCAAAAGUAUUCAUUUCAACAUCAAUUACGAAUACCUCCCUUCUGCAUAUAAAUUCUUUUUCACUUUUUUAGUAAUUAGUAUUGAUGC